AGGCUCCCAUGAUGUUUAAGCACUGGGCUCCAAUCAUCCUUGAGGACACAGUGCCCCUCCAGGACCUUUGAUACCUGGGGGUCUGAGGGGCUC
rnacentral:snoRNA from 1 species